CCCCUCAUGUACAGAACGUUAUGGGACGUGGGGAAGAGGUUGGAGGCUUCCUGUGUGCAGGCGGUGGCCUCGGCGGGCUUGGACAUGCCGAUGUACACCUCAGCUGUUUGCAGGCGGGACAGGAGGGAGAGACUGUUAACUAAACCUCCAGGGCAGAAAAAAGAAGUCAACGUGAAAUGCUCAACAACUGCAGUUCUUCAAAUGGCCACCGGAGGCUCCAAAAGUCCGUGCUGGGAGGAGGAGCACGUGUGGCAGAACGAGAAGAAAAGGCCGAAGCUUCAACAUACAAUCACAUGUGAGAUCACAUUUCUGCACUUAACGGCAAUUCAGAGCCAAUAACGAAACCGUCUGUGUGACCUCUACAGCUCAAGUGUUUGCUCGUUAGUGUUGACGUGUCAGUUUGUCCUCUUCAUUUUUUAUUGAAAGCGUUUCUUAUUCCUGAACAUGUCUAACUAUCCGGUAUUUGAAGCACUCAGAGGGUCUAAAGCAGGGGUGUCAAACUCACUUUGGUUCAGGGGCCACAUUCAUUCAGCCACAUUCACCAGUAACACAAUAGCACAUUAACCUAUGAAUAACGACAGCUCCAAAGGUUUCCCUUCUGAAUAGUAGCAGUUCUUGGUGUCAGUGUCAUGUCGUGUCCACAACUCUUACAAAAAAUGUGUGAAACCUAGAACAGCGGUUAAAUGCCACCGUCUGUUUUUAGCCUAUGGGGGGGGUAUGUUUCACACCUCUGGUUUAAAGAGAUGACAACAUCCUGUUUUUGACUUCUUCAAGUAUUUAUGUAUAUUUUGAAACACAAAUAUCCCUCAGAUUUACAUGAGGUGGAGGUCUGACCCCCGAGGUUUGUACUGUAAAUGAACCCCACCGACGAUAUCGUUUGCUGACCUCCAGCUAACACACGCCUAGACAGUACAAGUCAGGAAGCGCUAUCGUCACCUCACCUCACCUCUCUCUCUCUCUCUGCAAAUGCUAUUUUAAAAAGUGCUAAUACAGUUACAUAUAAAAAUGCGUGCA